rnacentral:misc_RNA from 1 species
CCAAACUUGGUCAUUUAGAGGAAGUAAAAGUCGUAACAAGGUUUCCGUAGGUGAACCUGCGGAAGGAUCAUUAGUGGAGUGGAGUGGGGGGGAUUGUGGGUGGGUGGGACAAAACCCACUCACUCGCAUCCCACCAAACAUUAGCACUGGGAACGGUCAGUUCCCGGUCCACAUAAAGCAUGUCUCUGUUUGUCAUAUUUGUACCGACAUAAUAUCACAACUUUUAACAAUGGAUCUCUUGGCUCUUGCAUCGAUGAAGAACGCAGC